GGAAACCUUUCACCCAUACCUUCCCUGGGGAGUGCAGAACAACCCCAUUGCCUUCAGAGGAGAAAGUGGACUCAAAAGUUGUAAGAAGCACCACCAAAACACUCCUGCACAUUGAACAAUCUGCUGAAGAAGGAGGGGUAAAUCCUGGCAUGGUUCAGCCAUCCCUUCUCCAAGGACCUCACCCUGCUUCCAUCGUUCCUGCAGUGCCUUAACUUGGGAGACAGUGAGUGGCAAAGCAGAAGGCUCAGUCACAGAACCACAAAGCAGGACUGAAGUCAGGUGAAGUCACACGGCGAGCAGAGCUACGGGAUAAGAGGAUUCUGCGCUCACACUGCCUGGCACGGGGCCAUGAAGGGAACCAGUUACUUAAGGACAAGGGAUUAGACCUGAAAUCCUUCCAUCUUUGUUCCAGAACCCCAAAAUCAGAACGGCCUUCCCCUCCUCCCCUCACACGAGCAGGCUGCGCUUUGGGAGUGCCAAAUCUCUGGCGUUUGGAUUUUGCUGGGUUUGUCUUGGCUCUUCAAGUGCCGGUGUGAAAGCGGGGAGCGCUUGAACAGACUCCUCACAGCCCCUGCCAGGCCACAAGAGCCCCAUUCCACCUGCCCUUGCUGUUUUUAACCUGUCAGAUCUUCAACUGAGCUGUACCUCUACAGCACCUGCACCCAAAGCACAGCAAACUUUGCUUUCCAGAACCCAGGAUUUGGCCUCUGUAUGUGGAUGAGUCAAACCACCAAAGCAUUUAGGAAACAAUCCAGCAGCCAGCCCUGAGUGGCUCCUCCUUCCUCUGAGCACAGCUGACCGUCCAUCCCCUUCCAUAUGGAUUAUGUCCAACCACCUCUGUGUACACUGCCUCUCCCAAGAAUACAAUGAGCAUCCCCGAGUCUGCCAGCCCAGGUACUGUGUCUUUCCAGCUUCUUAUUCCAAGUACCCUGACUGGGGAUAGAGAUUAGCAGGGAAUCAAAUAUAAAUGCCUUUUUGAUAAAAAAACCCCACCCAAACAAUUAAAAAACAAUGUUUGAGGAGGUUGGAAAGAACCCCCGAGGAAAGUCUGACACAGAGCACAAGGAAAUUUGAGUUUUGGGAAUAGGGAAAGGUAAGAGGUAACAGUGAACCUGCAGCUGUAAAUUCAGUGGUGCUGGGAUCCCAGGGGGCUCCACCUUAUCUCUUUGAGCCCAGAGAAGCACAGACAAAUCACAGAAGCAAACAGCAAAAGCCAAGGGGAGGAGUGAGAAGGGAGGGAAUGAGCUGCAUUUGAUUAAUUCCACAGCCAACUGGCACUCACUUGAUGGAAAUGCUAAUUUUCCCCCUGACAUACACCCACUAGUCAUUCCCCUCAUCUCCUCUAAAUGAAGCAGUCUUUUCUUAAACCACAGGUAACACAAGAAUAUCCAGGUUUCCACCCUUCCUUUUCCUCCCUGUCACACCCCCACUUACAGGACCAGCUGAACUAUUUACUGCUUGGAAAUGCUACACAGCUGCUUUUUAUUGCUGUGCUUGGUUAAGAGUCAGCCCUCACUCCAAAGGAACACUUCCUGCCCCGCUGGAAGCAGCCUGGGACAACUCCUGAAUAUCCACACCAGGUCACUGAGCGAUACCUGCAGGUGCCUUUUACACUUUGUGCUCCCAGAGCAGCUCUUGGGGCUGCCUCACACGAAAACACAGGGCAGGCUGCUCCCCAAAAUAAAGCUCUUUCUUACCAGAAACACAUGUGAGGGGCUACUGCAGAGGCAGAAAGCGUUUCCAGCAGCCAGCCUGUAAAUAAAUGUCAUCAGAAGCCCCCAAAGGGCUGGUUUAAACUGUGUGCUUAUUUAUUUACACAAGUAUCUUGCACUGUUUCAGAGAAAUGACCCAUUUGCAAUGUUGCUGUAUCCCCUGGAGAGUGCUGGGCUUCUAAUGAGAUCCAGGACAGAGUGGCUUAAAGGAUUAGGAGCUGAAGUCACCGGGAGUCUGGGGAAGGAAGAAGCCAGCACUGGAUCAAGACAGGUCCUGGGCUGUGGGGAUGGAAGAGAAGCAGCCAUGGAUGGCUGCAGCUUAAAGCACGAGGUUUCCCUAGGUCUGGGCAGGCAGAAAAGUCCCACCAGCAGGAGCAGAGGGAGCGGGCAGUGCCGUGGAGUGCCCCGAGCCGUGAGGGCUGGCGAGGCUCAUCUGUUCAGUCACUCCUCAGAAAUGAUCAGCAUCUUCCUCAGGCUGCUGCUGUGAGCCAGCACCGUGCCUCAUUCAACUCCUCAGGAUCAAUACCUGGAGAGAAGUCAGCUAUUGACCUGUUCUUUGGGCAAAACUGCACGGGAAUUACCAAUCCAUGCACGCUGCAGGAACUCGGGAGAGGUCUUCUCAAUGAACCAACCUUAAGAUACAGCUGGAAUUAUCAAUAGCCUUUCAUCCUUCAAAGCAAAGUUUGUGCUAGGAGGAAAGAAAUGAGAUGAUUUCCACGGUGUCAUCUUGCCUUUUCAGUGGGAGACUGCCAGCUCUUCCACAAAACAAGCAGAGCCCAGCAACACUUGAGUUGCUCUCCCUCUACAAUCCAAAGAAAGCUGCCACUGUAAAACUUCAACAGCUUUGGAGUUACAAGGCUUGCCUUGUUCAACCACAGGUCUCAACAUCCUUAACAGAUCUGCUUCUCCCAUCCACUCCAAACACUCCUCAUUCCUCUGAUGCGCUCCCCUCCUUCCCAAUCUUUUGCUCUGGACUAAGGAGGUGGAGGAAGAGGUUUUACACUGGUACAAACACAUCCCUGGAGACUCCUCCACUGCUCCCAGUGGCCAGGAGUGACUUGGAUGGAGGAGAAAACGUGAGCCUGGCUCUUCCUGGCACCUGGGACUGUUCUGGCCUUUGGAAGGAGCAGUGUGAGGAGCUGCUGACUUGCAGAGGAAACUCUGGAAGAACCAGUGGCCAGGAGAAGAAGACUCGGGCAGCUUUGCUUUGCAUUCCCAUUCCCAGCCUCUGGAGAGUGCAGUCAUUACAGGUGAGAUGGAGAAGCUGCACAGACAAAUCCCUGGAACCCAAGGAAUUAAUCAGAAGGACUGGUGUGAAAGCUAAACUUGGUCAAAAGCCUGCCUGGCUUUUUGCAAAACCACGGCUGUUAAUGGAAAACAACGAAACGAUCCCAGUUUAUCCCAUGAAAGGGAAGUUUCAUCAGCACCUUCUGAGGGGAAGAGAACAGCCAUAACCUCAAUUCCACAAGACAAUCCUCACUGCAAAUGUGAUGGAGCUCCUACAGAUUGUGGAUGGGAAGAGGAGAACCACGCACGGGAAAUACACCCGGAGCAGCCGUCCCUUCCCUUCCCAGCCUGAGCAGGCGACAUCCCUGCUACCAGGGACAGGGAAAAACACCCUUUAGAAAACCAAAACAAGCUCUAUCAGUGCAAGUGCACUUCUGCAGAUAACUGCUCCUGCAGCUGGGACUUCUGCUGGCACAGCUGUGUCAGUCACGGGUCACAGUCCGUCACCGUGCGCGCAGACAGAGCUGUGCCAGCAGAAGUUCGCUGUGCAGACCCGGUGGGAAGCUCCACUGACACGGAUCUGCAAGGUUUUGCCUUUUUUAUUCUGCAGCAGAGGUAAGCUCGUCCAGCAGGCUGCUGAUGGGCUGUCUCACCCCUGACACAUUAGGGUCUGGCCUUCCAGGGACGGGAGAAAACUAAACUUUGCACAGGGACACCCAUGGGCCAUUUACACUGAGUUUUAUCCUUCAGUUAAAUGCACAAACUAAAUGAAAAAGAGCCCCUGUAGGAAGAGAUAAAAGGGAAUAAAUUAAAUUGUGCUUCAGCACUCGGAGCAGCCCCCGCUUUUAAUAGUAAGAAGGGAACAAAACUGCAAGUGUUGAACAGGAUUUGUUUAGCAGACAGCAGAGCUCUGCAGAAUUUCCACUGCUCUGUGAAACCCAACAGCCACGCUCCAGCGGGGCUUUUGGCCUCCUCAGUCACCUCUGGAGGAGAUGGCAUGCCCAGGCUGCAGCUCAAACACAAGUUCUGUUUGGGUGAACCGACAGGAUCCUGCAGCUGGGUGAUGUGGAUCCUUAUUCCAGAGCAGGCAGCAGGGAGCUGUCAGCAGUGCACAUCGUCCAUCUGCUCCAGAGCAAAACUCUAACAUCAGGCUGGGAAUCCCUCCCUCGGUGCGGAGGGAACGGGGCUCUGUCCAGGACACCAGGUCGGGCUGUGGUGCUCCAGAUCUCACCAGCCUGGAUCCUGGAUGCACGUGGCCUGUGGAUGCUCCCUUGCGGGACAGGGAUGUUUGGCAGGACCACUUUCCCUAUUUUUCAC